CAUAAAGAAGACUUUGGACCUCCAAUUCCUUGUCAUUUUAAUCUGUUCAUCAGCAAGUGGCCAAUGUGGAGACCCCUGGUGGUUCUAUCGUGAUGAAUUACCUUCCAAUGAAAUAUCCUCAUUGCGUGAAAGCCAGUUCACUAAGGUUAAGGAAGAGGUGACUCAUUGAGGACAGUCUUGCUGCAAGAACAGGAGCAACUGUUGAAAGAAGAGGAGGGAUAUUGAAACUGAAGUGUUGAUGAUAAAUUUGGAUUGAGAGAGAAGCCAUUGAUAGA